rnacentral:rRNA from 1 species
UCGUUUGUCCCCAUUAAUACCAACAACAUCACAAAACCCCUAACUAAUACUGAAUGAUUCCAUAAUUCUAUGGAAAACCAUAUGCUAGAACUAGUAACAAGAAGAAGACCUUCUCCAAAAUAUAAGUGUAACCCGAAACGAACCAAUCACCGGCAACUACCGCCAAUGAAUAUUGAGUAGCAACUUUACAAGAAAACCCUACUCCACCGAGCGUUAACCUUACACCAGAAUAUUUCAGGAAAGAUUAAAAGAAGAAGAAGGAACUCGGCAAAUUAUUAACCUCGCCUGUUUACCAAAAACAUCGCCUCUUGAAACUCUAUAAGAGGUCCAGCCUGCCCAGUGACAAAGUUAAACGGCCGCGGUACCCUAACCGUGCGAAGGUAGCGCAAUCACUUGUUCUUUAAAUGAGGACUAGUAUGAACGGCAUCACGAAGGUUAUACUGUCUCCUUCCUCCAAUCAGUGAAACUGACCCCCCCGUGAAGAGGCGGGGAUAAAAAUAUAAGACGAGAAGACCCCAUGGAGCUUUAAACUCAGCAUCAAUUGCCCAACUCAAAUAUCAUUUUAAAUCAGCAAACCUGACAGCUAGUUUUCGGUUGGGGUGACCACGGAGCAAAACAAAACCUCCAUGAUGAAAGGACAAACCUCCUAAUCUAAGAGCUACAACUCAAAGAAUCAAUAAACUGACAUAACUUGAUCCAAUUAACUUUGAUCAACGAACCAAGUUACCCUGGGGAUAACAGCGCAAUCCACUUCAAGAGCCCCUAUCGACAAGUGGGUUUACGACCUCGAUGUUGGAUCAGGGUAUCCUAGUGGUGCAGCCGCUACUAAUGGUUCGUUUGUUCAACGAUUAAAACCCUAC